GGUGAACCGUCAACACCUGUGCGUUUUUCGACUACUUAUGUACAAUGAUUUUUAUUGAAUGUGCCUAUCUCUAUUAAACGAGUACAUUUUAUACGACGAGUUAGUUCUUGUGUCGCGUUAAAAUACGUUAAAAUACGCGGACGGUGCACGUGCAUAUUAACGCGGGCAUACUUAACGACAUAAUUAUUGGCGUUUCGAGUACAUAGCUAAUGUUAUAAUUUGUUUCUCCCCCGAAAUAUUUGUAUUCGUUCGAGUGCACCAAAGAUACCAAUUUAAUAUUCGAAACGUAUACCCACCCAUAGGUAUAUUAGUAUAAUG